rnacentral:rRNA from 1 species
UAGUCCAUGCCGUAAACGAUGGAUACUAGUCGUCGGGACACCUAAUUGUUUCGGUGACGUCGCUAACGCUUUAAGUAUCCCGCCUGGGGAGUACGGUCGCAAGAUUAAAACUCAAAGGAAUUGACGGGGGCCCGCACAAGCGGUGGAGCAUGUGGUUUAAUUCGAUGCUACGCGAAGAACCUUACCUAGAUUUGACAUCCUGUGCUACCCUGUGAAAGCAGGGGUUCCUUCGGGACGCAGUGACAGGUGCUGCAUGGCUGUCGUCAGCUCGUGUUGUGAGAUGUUGGGUUAAGUCCCGCAACGAGCGCAACCCUCGUCGUUAGUCACCAUCAUUAAGUUGGGCACUCUAACGAUACCGCUAGGCUAUAAGCCAGAGGAAGGUGGGGAUGACGUCAAGUCCUCAUGGCCUUUAUAUCUAGGGCUACACACGUGUUACAAUGGACGGUACAAAGGGCAGCUACCUGGCGACAGGAUGCUAAUCUCUAAAGCCGUUCUCAGUUCGGAUCGAAGU